ACCCCACUCCACAAAGGGAACACCACCCUGAUCUGGGACAUACUUCAGGACAAACCAGUUGGCCACCAACCAUGCAGCAGGCCGCUAUCCUAUCUAAUAAAAGAGUAAUAUGCAGAUUGA